rnacentral:rRNA from 1 species
AGUUUGAUCCUGGCUCAGGAUGAACGCUGGCGGCGUAGCCUAACACAUGCAAGUCGAACGAGCAUUAAAUGAAGUUUUCGGAUGGAAUUUGAUUGACUGAGUGGCGGACGGGUGAGUAACGCGUGGAUAACCUGCCUCACACUGGGGGAUAACAGUUAGAAAUGACUGCUAAUACCGCAUAAGCGCACAGUACCGCAUGGUACGGUGUGAAAAACUCCGGUGGUGUGAGAUGGAUCCGCGUCUGAUUAGCCAGUUGCGGGGGUAACGGCCCACCAAAGCGACGAUCAGUAGCCGACCUGAGAGGGUGACCGGCCACAUUGGGACUGAGACACGGCCCAAACUCCUACGGGAGGCAGCAGUGGGGAAUAUUGCACAAUGGGCGAAAGCCUGAUGCAGCGACGCCGCGUGAGUGAAGAAGUAUUUCGGUAUGUAAAGCUCUAUCAGCAGGGAAGAAAAUGACGGUACCUGACUAAGAAGCCCCGGCUAACUACGUG